UACGUAGGUGGCAAGCGUUGUCCGGAUUUAUUGGGUUUAAAGGGUGCGUAGGUGGCCCUGUAAGUCAGUGGUGAAAUCUCCGGGCUUAACCCGGAAACUGCCAUUGAUACUAUUUGUCUUGAAUACUGUGGAGGUCAGCGGAAUAUGUCAUGUAGCGGUGAAAUGCUUAGAUAUGACAUAGAACACCAAUUGCGAAGGCAGCUGGCUACACAAAUAUUGACACUGAGGCACGAAAGCGUGGGGAUCAAACAGG
rnacentral:rRNA from 1 species